rnacentral:lncRNA from 1 species
GGUAUGACUUAUAAAAAUAGAUGGAAUAGUGACAAAACUCUAACAGAAAAGGGCUAAAUGACCGACUGACCUUAGAGCAAGUGAUAAAGGGCUUGGUGGUUGGUACCCGAAACCUAAGUUCGAAUCCUAGUUGAUUCACAUUUCCAGCUAAGUUUAUUUCUAAAUGAAAUAAACGAAGCGGGUAGCGUACUACCUAUCUCUCAAAAAAAAGAAAGAAAGAAAGGGGCAAAAUGCAUCAACCUGAUAUUUUGA